rnacentral:rRNA from 1 species
UGAGUACGAGCUGCUACGGCAGCGAAGUGGGUGAUGUCAAGCUUCCAAGAAAAGCCCUAGACCCGUUAAGGCAUGACGGCCUGUACCCGAAACCGACACAGGUGGGGUGGUAGAGAAUACCGAGGGGCGCGAGAUAACUCUCUCUAAGGAACUCGGCAAAAUGGCCCCGUAACUUCGGGAGAAGGGGUGCCACCGCAAGGUGGUCGCAGUGAAGAGGCCCAGGCGACUGUUUACCAAAAACACAGGUCUCCGCUAAGUCGCAAGACGAUGUAUGGGGGCUGACGCCUGCCCAGUGCCGGAAGGUUAAGGAAGCUGGUCAGCGCAAGCGAAGCUAGCGACUGAAGCCCCGGUGAACGGCGGCCGUAACUAUAACGGUCCUAAGGUAGCGAAAUUCCUUGUCGGGUAAGUUCCGACCCGCACGAAAGGCGUAACGAUCUGGGCGCUGUCUCGGAGAGAGGCUCGGCGAAAUAGAAUUGUCUGUGAAGAUGCGGACUACGUGCACCCGGACAGAAAGACCCUAUGAAGCUUUACUGUAGCUUGGUAUUGUGCCCGGGCUCUGAAUGCGCAGGAUAGGUGGGAGGCUUUGAUCCAUGGCUUGCGGGUCAUGGUGAGCCAACGGUGAGAUACCACUCUUUCAGAGCUAGGGUUCUAACAGCCACCCGUUAUCCGGGGGCUGGACAGUAUCAGGUGGGCAGUUUGACUGGGGCGGUCGCCUCCUAAAAGGUAACGGAGGCGCGCAAAGGUUUGCUCAGGCUGGUUGGAAAUCAGCCGACGAGUGUAAAAGCAGAAGCAAGCUUGACUGUGAGACCAACAAGUCGAACAGGGACGAAAGUCGGCUUUAGUGAUCCGACGGUUCUGAGUGGAAGGGCCGUCGCUCAACGGAUAAAAGUUACUCUAGGAUAACAGGCUGAUCUCCCCCAAGAGUUCACAUCGACGGGGAGGUUUGGCACCUCGAUGUCGGCUCAUCGCAACCUGGGGCUGAAGUCGGUCCCAAGGGUUGGGCUGUUCGCCCAUUAAAGCGGUACGCGAGCUGGGUUCAGAACGUCGUGAGACAGUUCGGUCCAUAUCCGGUGCAUGCGUAAGAACAUUGAGAGGAGUUCUCCCUAGUACGAGAGGACCGGGAGGAACGCACCUCUGGUGUACCAGUUAUCGUGCCAACGGUAAACGCUGGGUAGCCAUGUGCGGAGAGGAUAACCGCUGAAAGCAUCUAAGUGGGAAGCCCACCUCAAGAUGAGUGUUCUCAUGGCUUAAGCCAGUAAGGUCACGGGAAGAACACCCGUUGAUAGGCUCUACGUGGAAGCGCAGCAAUGUGUGAAGCGGAGGAGUACUAAUAGACCGAGGGCUUGAC